rnacentral:lncRNA from 1 species
GUUUUGUUUUCUGCUGGGAUUUUGGCUGACGAUUUUUGUCAUUUUCAAAAACGACAAAUAUUUUGUCUGGGUUUUAAUUAGAAGAGGUCGAGGUUGGAAAUUUUUCAUUUAAAUGGUAUUUUGUUGGAUCGAACUAUUUACGAUAGGAUUUCCACAUUGACCAAAUUCAAACUUAAUGCAUUGUCAUUUGAAUUUGGUGAUUUGUGUAGCGUAUCAUAACUUCAACAAAUGAGUAAAUCGGA